AAAAGAAAAGAGCUCUUAAAGGGAAACGACUUUGAGCUCACGUAGGCAUAGCAGAAUGAAACUUCUGUACAUUUUAAUCUGAAUAAUUCUUCAGGGUUUAAAAUUAAUUGGCUCUGGCUUGGUUGGACCGGACUCCGAUCUCGCCACCUCUGCGUUUCCUGAGUCACUGCCGGAGAGGAACCGUUCCUUGAACGUUCUGGACAGAGCACAGAAUUGCUUAAGUCAGCCCGACACGGUUGUAAUAGACAGCAAAAAGGUAAACGUUUGCCUGAAAUCCGCACGCCAGCUCCACUACCCCGCCCGAUGGGAUAACCGGUUUCUAAAACAUUGUGGAAUUCAAGGCUCCAUAAUGGAAUCAAGAAGUCAUGAACGGCUCCCUUGGAAGGAAGCUUGGAGGACACUGGUCCAACUUCCCAUUGAAGCCAGAGGUCUGGAAAUGGGCAGAUGGUCAGGCAGACACCGAUUCAGCAUUUUCAAGAGUUGUAAAUUCAAGGCAGGUACCCCUGCAGCAAUUACCUACUAGGAGCGGAGGAAGAGGCGGUCUGUGAGCGCAGGGGCGACCGUGUUUUCAUGCCAGCGGCAGGCAGUGAAUCGCUGGUCUUCAUGGGACAACUGGACAGCUGGCAGGAAACCAGGAAACUUCUCCUUCCCUUCUGUGACUUCGCUCAGCCAGAAAACUACAAGUCAUUUCUCAGUAUCCAUCUGGGAUUGCUUCCUGGACCUCCGAGGAUACCAAAAUCCACAGAUGCUCAAGUCCCUUGUAUAAAUGAUGUAGUACAAUUGGCCUUCCCUAGUGGCAGGUUCCGAAUCCACAGAUUCAUCCAACUGCGGAUCAAAUUUUGGUUGGGUGAACAUUCAGAUGUGGAAUCCGCAGUUAACAAGAGCCCAUCGUAUUAAUAUUUAUACAACAUUUUAUUGCAUAUCUAUCUACUUUUAUUCUACUUUGAAAUCUUUUGGGUUCAUUGAUGGUUUGAGGACUUAAAUUAAAAUUCCCUUUUAUGUUUUGGCUUUCAUAGUGUUCUUUGUCCCACAAUUUGAGGGGAUAUUCUUUCCUAAAUCGUUCAAACACUGAUACAGUUUCCUCAGAGUCUUAUCUACACUUGGAUAACUAAGGUUUGUAAAGAUGAAGAAAAAAAAGGAGGAUAUGCAUCACUAAGAAUCAAAGGAAGUGCCUGACUCUAUAACAAAGAGAAAAGCUUCAAAAUGAUUGUACAACACGAAGACAGAAAUAACCAUGUUAAGAGGUCAUUGGUCUGACUUCUCCAGAAACUUCCCCUGGGCAGCGGUCUCUACCUCUGUUACAGAAGACUGCAAAAAUACCAGCCAUUGUGCAUCUGGCCAAUUAUGCAAUGUUCUAUCACGGGGGGAAAUUCCUUCCUCACUCCAGCUGGUAACUCCAUGGAGCUGUCAGGCGUUUUACACCUUAAUGUGAAGACAUAUGGGUGCAUGGGUCCCUGCCCUCACUCGGACUGGCCCCCAGGGAAAGUGAGGCUCCAGAUGCAGCUGCUGCCUGCGGACCCCCUGUACUGCCUGGGGAAGUGAGUCAGGACUCCUGCAGCGGAUGGGUGGGGCAGCUGCAAGAUGAUCUGAAGGUGGCCCAAACAACAGUGCUUUCCAGAUGUGGGUGAGGCUAUAGCCAAGAUCAUCACUGGUAGAGUAUCUUGUUCUUAAUUUUUACAACCUAAAAAGAAUACACAAGACUCAAAGGUCAUUGGGGAAGGAGGAAUAAAGUCAGUAAAGAACAGGAAAAUGGGAAAGGUUUUGUUUUGUUUUGUUUUUAAUAAAGAAUUUGAGCUCUUUUACACCAAAAGAGAGAGAAAAUAAAAGUGGCCUUUUGUAGGUAUGAAGAGAGCCCUGGCUCUCUCUCUCUCUCUCUUCUACAGGGAAAAUUCUGGAUUUGCAGAGAGAGAGAGAGAGAGAGAGAUUGAGGAUAUAAGGAGAGCUUGACCAAGGAACAGAAAAUAAUGGAGAGUAAGACAAAAAGGGAGAAAAAGAUCAAAAGACAUUGUUGCCUUCCCUUAUCUGCUGUUGAAGUAAAUGUGAUGUUUGUUGAGAACCAA